CGCGUAGGCGGUGAGAUGUGUGUGAUGUGAAAGCCCCGGGCUUAACCUGGGAAGUGCAUCGCAAACUAUCUGACUGGAGUAUAUGAGAGGGUGGCGGAAUUUCCGGUGUAGCGGUGAAAUGCGUAGAGAUCGGAAGGAACGUCGAUGGCGAAGGCAGCCACCUGGCAUAAUACUGACGCUGAGGCGCGAAGGCGUGGGAGCGAACA
rnacentral:rRNA from 1 species